rnacentral:rRNA from 1 species
AUUGAACGCUGGCGGCAGGCCUAACACAUGCAAGUCGAGCGGCAGCGACAGUAAUAAUCCUUCGGGUGCGUUAUUGGGCGGCGAGCGGCGGACGGGUGAGUAAUGCCUGGGAACAUGCCUUGAGGUGGGGGACAACAGUUGGAAGCGACUGCUAAUACCACAUAAUGUCUACGGACCAAAGGGGGCUUCGGCUCUCGCCUUUAGAUUGGCCCAAGUGGGAUUAGCUAGUUGGUGAGGUAAUGGCUCACCAAGGCGACGAUCCCUAGCUGGUUUGAGAGGAUGAUCAGCCACACUGGGACUGAGACACGGUCCAG